UACGGGGGGGGCAAGCGUUGUUCGGAAUUACUGGGCGUAAAGGGCUUGUAGGCGGCCAACUAAGUCAGACGUGAAAUCCCUCGGCUUAACCGGGGAACUGCGUCUGAUACUGGAUGGCUUGAGUUCGGGAGAGGGAUGCGGAAUUCCAGGUGUAGCGGUGAAAUGCGUAGAUAUCUGGAGGAACACCGGUGGCGAAGGCGGCAUCCUGGACCGGUAUUGACGCUGAGGCGCGAAAGCUAGGGGAGCAAACGGG
rnacentral:rRNA from 1 species